UAACCAAAAACAGCAAAAUUUCCUUAAAAUUACCAAUUCAGGGGCAGCAACCUAACAACGGGUUGUCCGAUUCAUCUAAAAAUUUCAGGGCAGAUAGAUCUUGACCUGAUAAACAAUUUUACCCAUGUCAGAUUUGCUCUAAAUGCUUUGGUUUUUGAGUUAUAAGCUAAAAACUGCAAUUUUACCCUAUGUUCUAUUUUUAGCCAUGGCGGCCAUAUUUUUUGAUGAAAUGGGAAUUAAAACACAAAC
rnacentral:lncRNA from 1 species